rnacentral:lncRNA from 1 species
GGCCUUUUCCACCCUUGAAAAGGACCCAGGUCGGGAGAGCACCAGACAUCUUCACUCCCAAGUCAUCCUUCUAAAGGCCAGCUGAUCUGGGAAUAGACUAAACUAUUGUCGGACAUUUAAUUUUCAAGGAGAGAGCAAAGUGGCCGGGAGACUUUAAAAAUUGCUCUCAGCUUUAUGUGCAACUGCCUGUCUGGCUGGAGGUCACCACCAAACCCCACGUCUGUGAAGACUCCUGGGCUUAAAGGUGCAGGCAGAGCAUUUUUUCCUGGAGCUGAAGAAAAUUGCAAAGCUGAUCCUGCUUUCUUCAGAAUGGACUCAGCUCUACAACAGAACUCCAGUCCUUAUUUACCGGCAGGCUUGUGGCCGGCCAGGCCCCUCCAAUGGCCUUACCACUAACAGAGAACAAUGCAGAGAACAAGGUAUCAUCCCUAGAAGGAUUCCCUGCAAAGUCCUGGCAUAUUACUCCUGACAGCUUAGAGUUACAGAAAGACACAGCUCCACAUAAAUACCUGGUCUUGAAAAUUGCUGUUUCGCCAGAAGCAGACAUGGCCAAAGUAGCCACAAAAUGUGUUUAAGCAUAGGCUGUGCCAAACUCACGGGGCUAUGACAGAAUAAUACUAAUAUUGAUUGGACAUCCAUUAUGUCACACACUCUCUAUUUGUUCUUCUACAUCUACAGCAGCUCUGCAAAGGAGGAAUUAUGACACCAUGGCUGUCAGUAUGACACAAUGGCCAAGGCUUCUGGGACCAAAGCCAGUAGAUGAGGUCACUGUGGCUUCAAGGGACUUUGGAGUAAGUCUCGAAGGAGGCAGGAAAUGCUGAUGAUCACCAGUUUACAGUGCUUUCCACAAAGGAAGAAUACGUAAAAUCUGGUCCGGAAGUUCUGUAAAACACGCCAAGGAGACAUUUUAACUGCACCACAGAGGAUGAGUAGACAUUUCCAAAGCUGAGAAGAGGUAGAGUACAUAGCUGAGGACCUGGGCCUGCAGGUGUGUGCAGGUGCAUGUGGAGGAGAGUGAUGGCAAUGGGGCUGGAGAGAGGUGAGACUCGUCUGCCCUGCUGAGGAGCCCAGACCUUCACCUGCUGGCACCUGGAGUCGUUACUCACAAGAUGGGUGGAGCCAUUAAAACUGUCC